rnacentral:rRNA from 1 species
GUGCCAGCAGCCGCGGUAAUACGAAGGUCCCGAGCGUUGUUCGGAAUCACUGGGCGUAAAGGGAGCGUAGGCGGCAAGGUAAGUCAGGUGUGAAAUCCCGGGGCUCAACCCCGGAACUGCACCCGAUACUGCUUUGCUAGAGUAAUGGAGGGGUAGCUGGAAUUCUCGGUGUAGCAGUGAAAUGCGUGGAUAUCGAGAGGAACACUUGUGGCGAAGGCGAGCUACUGGACAUUGACUGACGCUGAGGCUCGAAGGCCAGGGAGCGAAGGGAUUAGAUACCCCUGUAGUCCUGGCAGUAAACGGUGUGCGCUUGGUGUGGAGGGUUUCCGACCCCC